rnacentral:rRNA from 1 species
GCUUUGAUGGAUGGCGACCGGCGCACGGGUGAGUAACACGUAUCCAACCUGCCGACAACACUGGGAUAGCCUUUCGAAAGAAAGAUUAAUACCGGAUGGCAUAGUUUUCCCGCAUGGGAUGAUUAUUAAAGAAUUUCGGUUGUCGAUGGGGAUGCGUUCCAUUAGGCAGUUGGCGGGGUAACGGCCCACCAAACCAACGAUGGAUAGGGGUUCUGAGAGGAAGGUCCCCCACAUUGGAACUGAGACACGGUCCAAACUCCUACGGGAGGCAGCAGUGAGGAAUAUUGGUCAAUGGACGAGAGUCUGAACCAGCCAAGUAGCGUGAAGGAUGACUGCCCUAUGGGUUGUAAACUUCUUUUAUACGGGAAUAAAGUGAGCCACGUGUGGCUUUUUGUAUGUACCGUAUGAAUAAGGAUCGGCUAACUCCGUGCCAGCAGCCGCGGAAAUACGGAGGAUCCGAGCGUUAUCCGGAUUUAUUGGGUUUAAAGGGAGCGUAGGCGGGUUGUUAAGUCAGUUGUGAAAGUUUGCGGCUCAACCGUAAAAUUGCAGUUGAUACUGGCGACCUUGAGUGCAACAGAGGUAGGCGGAAUUCGUGGUGUAGCGGUGAAAUGCUUAGAUAUCACGAAGAACUCCGAUUGCGAAGGCAGCUUACUGG